AACGAACGCUGGCGGCAGGCCUAACACAUGCAAGUCGAGCGCCCGCAGGGGAGCGGCGGACGGGUGAGUAACGCGUGGGAACGUGCCCUUUGCUACGGAAUAGCCUCGGGAAACUGAGAGUAAUACCGGAUACUCAGCCUUGUGGGCAUCCACAAGGUUGGAAAGCUCCGGCGGUCAAGGAUGGACUCGCGUCCUAUCAGCUAGUUGGUGGGGUAAUGGCCUACCAAGGCGACGACGGGUAGCCGGCCUGAGAGGGCGACCGGCCACAUUGGGACUGAGAUACGGCCCAGACUCCUACGGGAGGCAGCAGUGGGGAAUAUUGCACAAUGGGCGCAAGCCUGAUGCAGCAACGCCGCGUGCGGGAUGACGGCCUUCGGGUUGUAAACCGCUUUCAGCAGGGACGAAGCGCAAGUGACGGUACCUGCAGAAGAAGCACCGGCUAACUACGUGCCAGCCGCCGCCGUAAGAC
rnacentral:rRNA from 1 species